CGGCGGACGGGUGAGUAACACGUGGAUAACCUACCUAUAAGACUGGGAUAACUUCGGGAAACCGGAGCUAAUACCGGAUAAUAUAUUGAACCGCAUGGUUCAAUAGUGAAAGACGGUUUUGCUGUCACUUAUAGAUGGAUCCGCGCCGCAUUAGCUAGUUGGUAAGGUAACGGCUUACCAAGGCGACGAUGCGUAGCCGACCUGAGAGGGUGAUCGGCCACACUGGAACUGAGGCACGGUCCAG
rnacentral:rRNA from 1 species